GCACAUUUAUCGUUUUCUCUCUCCUCUUCUUCGUUCUUUCCUCCCAGAAAGGAGAAAAGCGAUUCCUCUGUCAAGCGAGCGGAGGCUUUUUCAAAUUUUGAAUCUCUGCUGUCGCUCUCAUUUGCUACUCGGCGCUUUCGUCGAUUGCUGUUGCUGCUCCGGCGUUCCAAGCAGCCUCUCCGCCGUCGCUCCGACGGUUGCUCGCUCUCUGCUCCGUCGCUGGCUCCGUCUCUGCUCCGAUGCUCACUCUUUGCUCCGUUACUUGCUCCGUUUCUGCUCCAGCGCGGCUUUCCUUCGCGCAUGAAUCCGCCGUGGACGCCCUCCAGUAAUCCAUCGAUCGCCGUCCCAUCCCUCUCGGUCCCCUCUCUCGUUUCAUCCAGCUAUUAAAGCUGUGAAUCGCAUCGCUGAGUUGAAUCUCUUCUCGUUUCACUUGCUACAGCGGGUUACUUUGCGUUUCUUUCGGAUAUUGAGCCGAGAAAAGUUGCAAGGGAUGAUUUUUAUUUCGGGCGGUGCGUUUUCCUUCUUCUCAGCCGAUUGAUUUUUUUGGCGUUUUGAUCGCAGAUUCAGCUUCUUCGACCUUCAUUCAGUGCUUGAACCGACGCGUGUCGGCUGCGAGCAGCGAUCUCAAUUUGCUCGACUCCAUGUCGUUUGGGACCGUGUCGUUUGAGGAGCUGUUAGGUCACUGCAACGAGGUUUUCCAGAAGAACCGAAGCGACCUCGCUCAGCUCGAGCAACGCCUUAAGAGCUUCGGCUACGUCCCGGGUACUUUGGGCUCCACCAUUUUUCUGCCUGUGUAUUUGAUUGCGAAUAAUUGCGUGGAACUAGUUUACUUGGUGCUGAAGUGUACACCAAUAUGCUGGAUCGAUGGGACAAGAAUGCUGGGGAUUUCAGUAGGAGUUGAAAGGGAUGAAAACGAGCAAGUCAAUUAUGUGCAGACCUUGUCCUGGUCUUGUUUCACGCAUCAAGUAACAUUUACUAAGAUGGGAGAGCGUGGAUGACAACAGUGAUGAGGAAUCAGAGAGGUCCAAAUCCGAAGUCAGUGAUGAAGAUGAAGCUACUGUGGAGCAAUUGCUCGGACGGUGGGGCACUUGUCUAAGAGUUCUGAGGUUAUGAUGACCUUAUGAAAGCUCCUGAAAUGGCUGUUACCAAGUGCAUAAUUCAGGAGCAUUAUCUUGAGCAAUUUGGGAAUCUUAGUUCUCCAUUUCUUGCUCACUUGCUGGAAUAUGGCUUG